UCGGAUCGCAGUCUGCAACUCGACUGCGUGAAGGUGGAGUCGCUAGUAAUCGCGGAUCAGCAACGCCGCGGUGAAUGCGUUCCCGGGCCUUGUACACACCGCCCGUCAAGUCAUGAAAGUGGGCAGCACCCGAAGACGGUGGCCUAACCCUUGUGGGGGGAGCCGUCUAAGGUGAGGCUCGUGAUUGGGACUAAGUCGUAACAAGGUACC
rnacentral:rRNA from 1 species